UACGUAGGGGGGCAAGCGUUGUCCGGAAUUAUUGGGCGUAAAGAGCGUGUAGGCGGCCAGAUAAGUCCGCUGUGAAAAUCUCGAGGCUCAACUUCGAGCUGUCGGGUGGAAAACUAUCUGGCUAGAGUCCGGAAGAGGAGAGUGGAAUUCCUGGUGUAGCGGUGAAAAUGCGCAGAUAUCAGGAAGAACACCCCGUGGCGAAGGCGGCUCUCUGGGGACGGUACUGACGCUGAGACGCGAAAGCGUGGGGAGCGAACAGG
rnacentral:rRNA from 1 species